rnacentral:lncRNA from 1 species
GCCUAUCUCUCUCCCUCUCUUUGUCUGCAUUCUCUUAGCUGAAUAUGGGUAAGAUGGUUGUUUGUGGGAGUCAACCCCAUUGUACUUCUGCACAGCACGUUUACUGCUGUUGGAAUACUUUCACACGCGACACACUAAGAAUUGCUGUCUCCAUUUCCCGUCUCAGGGUGCUGAGGCUGGGAGAAGGGGACCGGUUUGUGCGGGGUGCAGGAUGAGUGGCUGGGGUUUGAAGCAGUGUCCCCACCCCCAUGCGUGGGUUCUUGCCGUUGCCCCACGUUUCCCCUUGGCCUUACUUGAGAUUCCUGGAUCCCUGUGGAGGGGCCUAGGAAGGGCCCUGAUUGACUUUUGGCCCCAAACUGUGACUCUCUCCCAGCGGUGGCUCAGGGAACUUUAAUGAUUUAGGGCAGCGCUGCUUAGCCGGGGGCAAUUUUGUUUCUCAGGGGACAUUUGGCAGUGUCUAGAAACAUUUUUGGUUUUCACAAUUGGGGGUUGCUACUGGCAUCUAGUGGGUAGAGGCUGUUAAACACCCUGUAGCCCACAGGACAAGCCCCUCCUCCCCUGCAACAAGCAAUUAUCUGGCCCAGAAUGUCAACAGUGCCAAGGGUGAGAAGCUCUGGUUUAGGGGAGUGAACUCCAGGUGGCUCGGAGCCAUUGCCACAUAUUUCUUGCCUUCUUCUAAGCACUCGGUCCACGAUGUUCAGCAAGGAAUCACUGAGCACUUCCCAUACGCGUGGCACACUCCCAGCUAGGCUGCCUGCCUGCGUCAUCUCCUUACAUCCUCAAAGGCAUGAUAAGGGUUUUGCCUGUUCUUUGACCUUAGGGCAUUUCCCUUUGCCCUAUUUCCCACUGUGUCCUUUAAAGAAAAUCUCAAGAAUCAUAGAGAUAGCUUCUCAAUGAAAACCAACGGGAACAAAUCCGGCCUUUGUUCCAGGACAUCCUGCUCUUCCCGCUGGCUCUGAGGCUGCAGGUACAAAAACUGUCCCUGCUCAAUCCUCCCUCUCGGAGUGGGCUUUGGUUUUUGUGGGCAACUCCAUUGUUAAAAGCCAGCCCUACAAUGGGACGAGGACAGUUGACAGGUUUCUGUGCAAGUGUGUUUCCGAUCGCGCAAGGUAACAGCUUCAUUACUCGGUGAUGAGUGACCCAUAUUUCCUAACAUGAUUUCCCUGCUGUAACUCAAAUUGAGUUCAUGUUAUUCUAAUGAUAUCAGUUGACCUUGAGAAUUAGACCAAGAAGCCUGGGGUUAUUCUUCCAACUUCCACUGCAGAUUCUUGUGAUGUGUUUGGAAACACAAUCUACUCCUCAUCGCCCUGAAGUGGGCAGGGGGAAAAUAGAAAACAAAGAUCCCGACCUGCUCUGAUUUUUAGAAAAUACAUCUGGGCAAUUUCCGGCAAUGGGAGGCUCUUUCCCUCUCAGUUCUGCUCCCCCACCCCUGCCUCUUCCCCAAGAUCCUGGAUGUCUCCUGUCAGGAAGAGUCCUCCUCUAGGUCCUAUGGGAUCUCCUUGCUACAGUCUCCCCUUGUCCCACCACCUUGCUGGGUCAGGCUCCCAAAACAAGAGCAGACAGCACUUCUCUAGUUCCCUCAUUGGCUCCUCAUUACCUGCUGGUAAAGCCCAAACUCCUAAGCCUGGCAUUCAAGGCCCAUAAUUCAUGAUCAUCUUCAUCCUCAAAUACAGGAUCGGAGCUGAUGGAUCUUUCCUGCCAGCACAACCCCUGAAAGUGCGUGGCACAGAGGGACUGCACCCCUUGGUACACAUCACGUUUUUUUGUUUGUUCUUGAG